AUAAUAGAGCACACCACCCCGACAAUGAUAAUCAUAAUGCAGGUUGCAAUCUGAAAAUUAGAACAAGAAACCAUUGUGAAAACCAUUUUAUAACACAAGAUUUCCGGUAAUUAAAUUUCAUUUAGUACAAUGAUGGUUUGCUUCUUAAUUACCUGCAACUUUGUUAAUCUACCUCUGUGUAGCAUGAAAUAACACACGCAUGGGAAGACAACAGCCUGCCAAGG
rnacentral:lncRNA from 1 species